AUGGGGGGACGGAGAAGGCUAGGUGGGCCAGGCGACGGUUGUCCUGGUGAAAGUGCGUAGGCGGUACCUUUAGGUAAAUCCGGAGGUGCAACGCUGAGACACGAGACGAACGCACUACGGUGUGGAAGCCAUUGAUGCCCUGCUUCCAGGAAAAGCCUCUAAGCUUCAGAUUACAAGUCAUCGUACCCCAAACCGACACAGGUGGUCGGGUAGAGAAUACCAAGGCGCUUGAGA
rnacentral:rRNA from 1 species